UCGAUGUCUGCGUUUGUUUUGUUUGUGUGCAAACCGACCUUGUUUGCCGGCAGUUUAGUGUGUAAAUCGUGCGUGAGGAACAGUCUUCGUUCUCUGGUGCCUUCGAACUGGCUCUGCUCAUCAAAUUUCGCUGGCAGCGUGGCGUCACAUGACGGCGCAGGAAUGUCGGGCGAGCCGCAGGGCGCUGCAUGCGAGCGGCCACCUGCCAGCCUCGAAGAGUCGUACAGGCGCUGCUUCGUGGGCGGCGACCUGUCGGCGCAGUACAAAGUGGCAAGACCCGUAGUGCCGCAUGCGAUGGUUGCAGACAUCGUCGAGUACGCGAACCAAACGGUUUCAUGCAAGGAUGGUGUUUGCGUCGACGUCGGAUGCGGUCCUGGACAGAGCACGGAACGUUUUUGUCCGCACUUUAGGAAGGUCGUGGGCACCGACAUUAGUGAGACACAGAUCGGCAUAGCACGAGCAGCUUGCACCGCCAAGAACGGUGGCCAACGCCGAGUGCCUUCCCUUCGACGCCGGCUCCGUGGCACUGGUGUCGACGGUGAAUGCGCUGCACUGGUUCCACUGGGAUUCGUUCUUCGCCGAGGUUCGCCGGGUGCUGGUCGACGGCGGCGUGUUCUGCCCGUCGCUGUACCGGCUGCGCGCCGUGGCCGAGCCUGGACUCGAGGACUGCCUCGAGGAGUUUCGGUACCAGGAGUUUAAGGGCUACCUGACUGCUCAACACGACUUCUGGACGUACGGCUACGAGAAGACGGAGGUCCCCUUCAGUGACGUUCGCAAGAAGGACUUUCCAGUGAAAGAGAAGACGACGUUGUCGGCAAUAAUGGCAUGUGUGAGGACGUGGAGUUUUGUGAUACGAAUGGAAGAAAAGGAACCCGAGCGUGCCAAACAGG
rnacentral:misc_RNA from 1 species